rnacentral:rRNA from 1 species
UACGUAGGGAGCAAGCGUUGUCCGGAAUCAUUGGGCGUAAAGCGCGCGUAGGUGGCCUCAUAAGUCCGCUGUGAAAGUCGGGGGGCUCAACCCUCGAAAGCCGGUGGAUACUGUCGGGCUCGAGUACGGAAGAGGCGAGUGGAAUUCCUGGUGUAGCGGUGAAAUGCGCAGAUAUCAGGAGGAACACCAAUUGCGAAGGCAGCUCGCUGGGACGUUACUGACGCUGAGACGCGAAAGCGUGGGGAGCAAACAGG